rnacentral:tRNA from 1 species
AAGAUUUUAGGUUAAUACAAACCUAUAGCCUUCAAAGUUAUUAAUAUAAAUAAAAAAUUUUUAAGUCUUA